rnacentral:misc_RNA from 1 species
CUGUAGUUAAGAAACACCAAGUAUAGAGCUUUCUAUCUGUGAAGCUCUUCACCAGAAGCUCAAGAAUGAUGACGGAAAAAACACCAGUUGCAAUGAGUUUAAGAUAGUAAUCAUUAACUCUCCCGCACAAGUAUCUGCAGAAUGCCUUGAGAAAAUGAUAUUCACUAAAUAUUUGUGUCCACAAAAACAUUGUCGUCACUACGUAUGCGUGAUAAAGGGGAGGAGAUUUUUCAACCAACAGAAG